UAGGGAAUCUUCGGCAAUGGACGAAAGUCUGACCGAGCAACGCCGCGGGAGUGAAGAAGGUUUUCGGAUCGUAAAACUCUGUUGUUAGAGAAGAACAAGGAGGUUAGUAAGUGAACGUACCAAGACGGUAUCAAACCAGAAAGCGAAGGCUAACUACGUGCCAGCAGCGGCGGUAAUACGUAGGUGGCAAGCGUUGUCCGGAUUUAUGGGGAGUAAAGAGAGCGCAGGCGGUUUCUUAAGUCUGAAGGGAAAGCACCCGGCUGAACCGGGGAGGGUGAUUGGAAACUGGGAGAGUUGAGUGCAGAAGAGGAGAGUGGAAUUCCAUGUGUAGCGGUGAAAUGCGUAGAUAUAUGGAGGAACACGAGUGGCGAAGGCGGCUCUCUGGACUGUAACUGACGCUGAGGCUGGAAAGCGUGGGAAGCAAACAGG
rnacentral:rRNA from 1 species